UUAACUUCCAUAUUUUAAAUUAUAAAAAUAAACUGGGAAACUAAAGCAAAUGUGCAUCCUUGCGGGACUCCAAGCCUGGGCACUGGCCGCCUGCGUGCACUCCUCUAAGUGUGCAUAACACGCCCGCAGGGGUUGCCAGCAGGAAGCCUGCGUUAACUUUAUCUCGUGGUGGGGAAGGUGGAGCCCACGCCCACACCUAGCAAGCUGGAGAGGGAGGUUUCGUGAGGAAAUAAAUAUGGGGCACGGAAACACAGUCUUCCGCAUGGAGUCCCCAGAGGCAGUGCAUUUUAAACCCUAAAUGUGGAUUACUGAGUGUCCGAGUGGAGUUUAAAUUCCGUUUGAAGAAACUGGAUAAGGAGUGUUUGUGUGGGUGUUUGUGCGCACGGCUAUAUGGGAGCAGGCACAGGAUCUCAGUGUUGGGGGUGUCCCUAGUGUGCGAUGUCCUCCUCUCGCCACAUUAGGAGAACUCCUUUAGCUCCCCCAAACUGGCCCCCGUAACUACCCUGCCUCGGUUCGUAAGGGGUUAACCAAAACCGAUUCCGAGGACAGACAACCCGCCCCCACAGUCACCCCCACCCACACUCGCUUCCGACCCUGGCCAAGCCCCCAAAUCUUCCCCGGGGACCCCCCACCCCGCAGCCCACCCACCGGAGCGCACAGCUCCUCACCUGAAGGGCCGGGCCACGUCCGGCCUCCCGAAGAGGCUGCGUGCGUCAGGCGGACCACCGCACGUGUCCUCGGCGGCGCGGAGCAGUUUCCAGUUCACAUCACUGCAACACCAAGUCCAAUGGAAGAGGGAAAAUCCACUUCUCCAACAGAGAAAAAGACUAGAAGGAAGCUCCCAAAAUGUUAAAGGUUUUUAGUGGAUUCCUUAGGACUUUCUGUAUAUGUAUACAAGAUCAUGUCAUCUCCCUGCAAGCUAUUUGGCAUAUGAAGGUCUUGACCUGAGAAAACCAUCUUGGAUAACCGUGGCAAGGAGAAGGAAAAAUGCAACACCUAGGAGAUUUCAGUAAACAGUAGAAUCAUGCCAACCUAAUCUGUGUUAAAAUGCUUGGAAUGUGGGAGCCGCUGAUGAUGCCUGUUGUCUGUGUGUCUGACUGAAUCCUUUCUUUACUCAGAGCAGCAAAGCAAAGCCUGGGAACCAGGCCAAAUGCCUGCCACUUACCUUAAAUUGAUCAGCCACUUUGAGAUUAAAACUCCUGAAAGCUGCCACACCGUGAAAACAAGGCCCCCUUCACAUUAAAGGCAAAUUGCGACUUUGA
rnacentral:lncRNA from 1 species